GACGAACGCCGGCGGCGUGCCUAAUACAUGCAAGUAGAACGCUGAAGAGAGGAGCUUGCUCUUCUUGGAUGAGUUGCGAACGGGUGAGUAACGCGUAGGUAACCUGCCUGGUAGCGGGGGAUAACUAUUGGAAACGAUAGCUAAUACCGCAUAAUAGCAGUUAUUGCAUGAUAACUGUUUGAAAGGUGCAAAUGCAUCACUACCAGAUGGACCUGCGUUGUAUUAGCUAGUUGGUGGGGUAACGGCUCACCAAGGCGACGAUACAUAGCCGACCUGAGAGGGUGAUCGGCCACACUGGGACUGAGACACGGCCCAGACUCCUACGGGAGGCAGCAGUAGGGAAUCUUCGGCAAUGGACGGAAGUCUGACCGAGCAAUGCCGCGUGAGUGAAGAAGGUUUUCGGAUCGUAAAGCUCUGUUGUAAGAGAAGAACGAGUGUGAGAGUGGAAAG
rnacentral:rRNA from 1 species